UCUGAUUGAUGUCUCUCUUUUUUGUGAUCUCAUCAGUUCCUUAACAGGAAAGUCAGACCACAGACCAUGUCUGUCAAUAUAUAUAUAUAUGUGUUUGGUGCCCUUAGUCUGUUCAAUGUUUGUCUUUAUUGGUAAUCUUUAUGCCAGUAAGUAUGAUGCCCUUACUUCUUCUUGGAACCUUCUCCUUUUGUGAACUCAUUGCAGGACAAAUAGUGAUACAAUCUACAGAGGUCCUGGUGAGAAAAGAAGGCGAGUCAGUGACCCUCAACUGCUCAUACAGCACUGGGUACCCAUCACUCAUGUGGUAUGUUCAGGAUAUCAGGAAAUACUUGAUCUUCAUCCUACAUGACCAAUCCAAACCAGAAGACAUCGGACUAAAGUUUAGACAGAGAUUCUCGGGUGUAGUCAAGAGAACUCAGAGAUCUUUCCAACUCUCUAUUUCAAAUCUUGAGGUAGAUGAUUCUGCAAUGUAUUACUGCCUCCUUAAGCACCCAGUAACACAUAUGCCUUAUGUACGUGUACAAGAAGUCAAGGAUUAGAGCAGUUCCAUACAAUGGCCAGUCUAAAGUAAAAGGUAGUGUAUAAGCUAAGAAUAUUAGAAUGUCCAGAACAGAACUGCGUAUUAUAUAUUGUAUAAAACACUAUUAACAUUGCGUUGCAUGGAAAAAUAUCUUUACAUACAGUAAUUGUGUGACUGAAUACCUUGUUCAGAAUUUAAUAAACAAACAUGUUUGAAAAGUAUCCUGAUUUAUGUAAAAUAGGUUACAUGUUGUCAUUCUAUAUUAGAGCC